AAGCUCGUAGUUGAAUUUCGGGUCCGGCUGAGUGGUCUUGCCAAUGGUAAGUACUGCUCUGGUCGGAUCUUUCUUUCUGGGGAACCAACGUGCUCUUAAUUGAGUGCGCUGGGGAUCCAGGACUUUUACUUUGAAAAAAUUAGAGUGUUUAAAGCAGGCCUACGCUUGAAUACGUUAGCAUGGAAUAAUAGAAUAGGACUUUGGUUCUAUUUUGUUGGUUUCUAGGACCGAGGUAAUGAUUAAUAGGGAUAGUUGGG
rnacentral:rRNA from 1 species